UCAAAGCACAAACGAGGACAGUGAUUCACAGUGGCCAACAGUUAACUGCACCCUUGACCCUGUGCCGGAUGCUGUUUUGGCCUUUUGCAUGGACAGUUCCUCACUGCCCAAGAGUGAGCAUUCAGUACAGAUUGAGAAACCAGGCCAUGCCCUUGAACAGCUAGCCCUGAGUCACUGGGGCAGAGCUGGAAUUCGAGCCUCUGCGUGCGUGUGUGUGAUUGCAAGGCCUUGCCUGAACCUCACCAUUCUCCGCCCUCCCUGCAAGCAGAGACCUGCCACACAGCACAAGGAGGUCCAGGGUGAGGGCUUCCUGUCAGCUGUACAGCUGAGCAGUCAUGUAUGUUAGGUAGGAGGCAUAUUAGGACAAUAGCUACCUAUGGUUGCCACACAGCAAAGAAAAUAUCCUAGGUAAAGCAUGGUUUCUAUUGAGACACAAGCUUCAAUCUGGUAUCUUCCUGUCCAUCAAAAAUUGUAAAAAAAAAAAAAAAAA
rnacentral:lncRNA from 1 species